AGGAGUUUAGGUUAAAUAGACCAAGAGCCUUCAAAGCUCUAAGUAAAUACUACAUAUAUUUAACUCCUG
rnacentral:tRNA from 1 species